UAGGCACUGUGGUGGACUCGAAGAUCUGCCAUCCAACUGAGUUUGAUUUCUACCUGUGCAGCCAUGCUGGCAUUCAGGGAACAAGCCGCCCUGCCCAUUACCAUGUUCUGUGGGAUGAGAACAACUUUACGGCUGAUGGGUUGCAAACUCUCACCAAUAACUUGUGUUACACGUAUGCUAGGUGCACACGCU